ACAAGUUAAUUUAUAUAGCAUGGAAUAUCAUGAUGGAAUUGUUACUGAACUAGAGAAGGAAUAAAUAUCACCCAAAGAUAGAUACAGAGACUUAUGGAACUUUGGGUGUUCCCUUUUGAGGGGAGGUGAGUACAUUUGUUUUUUUUUUUUUUUUUUUUCUUGGUACAGGGACAAUUAUGUUAUUGUUUGGAAGUUUAAAUAUGGAGAGAAGGUAAGUAUGGAUGUUGAAUACCCAGAGGAAGGGUCUACGGCAUUUAUGGUGGAUUGGUGCUCAAUAUCCAUUCAAGUUUUCUUCUGUGAACUUUCCCAAUCUGCAGAAGUUAGAAAGUAAAAAAAAGUUUCUGUUUUUUUUUUUUUUUUUUACCUGGACUCUCUUGCAGCUAAGGUUUUGGAAUUUGUUAGGCUGGGCCAAUCAAAUACACUUGUGCAAGAUUUGGAAGGCCGAGUGGAAUGGAGGCUGUAUUUCUGCUGUAAUUGCUUUUUUUUCUAAAAAGUACAGGCAUGGAGGGAUUUUUUUUUCCCCCUGAGGCAGCAUUAGCAUAGGUACCAGUGUCUAGGAACUCAGUUGGUUUGAGUACUAAAAGGCAGAGCAUGAGGCCUCCCUGCUGGUGUGUAUCACAGCAGGGAUGGUGCAACUUCCUGAUGUGGCAGGUUCCUCAUUGUAGCAGCUUCCUGCCAUAAUUCUGGAGCUAGCUUCUUUCUGACCACAGAAGAGGCAGAAACUCCUUUGGUGACCCAUUUCUGCACUGAGACUUUUUGUUCUUGAAAGCUUGUCAUGGAAGCUCUUUCUUCUGCUUUCCCAAUGAUUCAGCAAGAUGUUCCAGGCUGUCUCUGGAGGGUCUGACCUUUUGGAUUGGAGCAAAUGAGUCUGGAGAGGAUGGUGUGACUGACUAAGAAACUUGAAAUGGAGGAAUUAUCCUGAAUUAUCCAUUGGGCCCUACGUAAUCACAGUGUAAUCCUCUUAAGAGGGAAAUAAAGGGAGACUUGCCAUAUAAGGAAGAAGAGGAGAAGGCAAUGUGACCACGGAGGCAAAGAUUGGAGGGAUGUGGUCACAAGCCAAGGAAUUGCUGACAGCCAGCAGAAGCUACAAGAGGCAAGGAACAGAAUCUCCUCUAGAGCCUCUGCUGACCCCUUGAUAUUGACUCAGUGAUGCUGAUUUGGAUAUCUCACCUCCAGAACUGUGAGAAAAUAAAUCUCAUUGUUAUAAGCCCUCAAGCUUGUGGUACUUUGUUACACCUGUCAUAGGAAACUGAUACACUUAACUUGAACCUAGGGAGUUAGAUU